rnacentral:tRNA from 1 species
GCGUCUUUAGCUCAGUGGAUAGAGCACUGGUCUUCUAAACUAGGGGUCAUAGGUUCGAAUCCUAAAAGAUGCA